GACAGAGGGUGCAAACGUUGUUCGGAUUUACUGGGCGUAAAGGGCGCGUAGGCGGCCACCGCAAGUCGACUGUGAAAUCUCCGGGCUUAACCCGGAAAGGUCAGCCGAUACUGCGGGGCUAGAGUGCAGAAGGGGCAACUGGAAUUCUCGGUGUAGCGGUGAAAUGCGUAGAUAUCGAGAGGAACACCUGCGGCGAAGGCGGGUUGCUGGGCUGACACUGACGCUGAAGCGCGAAAGCUAGGGGAGCGAACGGG
rnacentral:rRNA from 1 species